rnacentral:rRNA from 1 species
UUCUGCAGUCGAGCGGACAGAAGGGAGCUUGCUCCCGGAUGUUAGCGGCGGACGGGUGAGUAACACGUGGGUAACCUGCCUGUAAGACUGGGAUAACUCCGGGAAACCGGAGCUAAUACCGGAUAGUUCCUUGAACCGCAUGGUUCAAGGAUGAAAGACGGUUUCGGCUGUCACUUACAGAUGGACCCGCGGCGCAUUAGCUAGUUGGUGAGGUAACGGCUCACCAAGGCGACGAUGCGUAGCCGACCUGAGAGGGUGAUCGGCCACACUGGGACUGAGACACGGCCCAGACUCCUACGGGAGGCAGCAGUAGGGAAUCUUCCGCAAUGGACGAAAGUCUGACGGAGCAACGCCGCGUGAGUGAUGAAGGUUUUCGGAUCGUAAAGCUCUGUUGUUAGGGAAGAACAAGUGCAAGAGUAACUGCUUGCACCUUGACGGUACCUAACCAGAAAGCCACGGCUAACUACGUGCCAGCAGCCGCGGUAAUACGUAGGUGGCAAGCGUUGUCCGGAAUUAUUGGGCGUAAAGGGCUCGCAGGCGGUUUCUUAAGUCUGAUGUGAAAGCCCCCGGCUCAACCGGGGAGGGUCAUUGGAAACUGGGAAACUUGAGUGCAGAAGAGGAGAGUGGAAUUCCACGUGUAGCGGUGAAAUGCGUAGAGAUGUGGAGGAACACCAGUGGCGAAGGCGACUCUCUGGUCUGUAACUGACGCUGAGGAGCGAAAGCGUGGGGAGCGAACAGGAUUAGAUACCCUGGUAGUCCACGCCGUAAACGAUGAGUGCUAAGUGUUAGGGGGUUUCCGCCCCUUAGUGCUGCAGCUAACGCAUUAAGCACUCCGCCUGGGGAGUACGGUCGCAAGACUGAAACUCAAAGGAAUUGACGGGGGCCCGCACAAGCGGUGGAGCAUGUGGUUUAAUUCGAAGCAACGCGAGAACCUUACCAGGUCUUGACAUCCUCUGACACCCUAGAGAUAGGGCUUUCCCUUCGGGGACAGAGUGACAGGUGGUGCAUGGUUGUCGUCAG